CCGUACGAUCCCCAGAUGCCCGUGUACUACUAUCCGGUUCGGCAGCCUCCAUCAUACAACCUGGCGGCGGUGCAGCCCGGAAUGGGGGAUCCCAACUUGAUAUCUUCAGGCGGAAAGCCCGCUAUGCCUGCGAAUUCUGAAUUGCCUGCAAACUUAUAUAGGACAGCCGCUCCAUCCCCUGCUGCCACACUGCAAUCGCAGGUGAUCCACGUCGCGGCUGACCAAGCCCGCUCGUUUGCUGCAGGAAUGGGAUAUCAUGUGGUGCCGCAGCAGCAGCAGCAACAGCAUAUUUCGCAUUCCCCUGCAACGAUGUCUAAUUAUGGCUACGAAUUCGCUGCCGAUCAUACCCGCCCUCAGAUGUACUACUCUA
rnacentral:lncRNA from 1 species